UGUCAUGGAUCUUACAGAUGUGUUUUAUACAGAUAUUUGCAUUAUGUAGUUGUGUGUGUGCACAGAGGGAGAGAUUCUGUUAUGGUUAAGGUGAUUAUUUUAGCACUGUCAUCCUGCACGCCUGGCUGAUGUGGAUAUUUGAGAUGAAUGUUGAUACUAUUGGUUUCCUCUUCUGAUCUUUGAGCCUUUUGCUUCUGAUAACAAAACGUAGACUGAUCCACAAGGAAUUAUUUGAGUGAUUUUCCUAAGACCACCCCAUUCUUUCUGUUGUAGGAUAUAGAUGAGGAUUUCUAUACACCGUCAGCAGUGUAUAAUCCGCCUUCUCUAACCUGUCUGGCAACUCCUAUGGGAGCGUGCUGCGAACGGGGAGAAGUGUGUGGAGUCAGCAGCAGCCGUGAGCGUGCAACGUGCAAAAAGAAACCGGCAACCGGGAAAGGAGAGAGGUUUAAAACCCGAUGAUGAGGCUCCAGGAGAGCAGCGCUCAGCCAGGCAGCCCCGCUCUGCCCGUCCCGCGUGGGGAGGGAAGGAGAACAACCGUUCCUCCCGCGCCGUCUCGGGGACCGGGGCAGCUGCGCUCGGAUCCCCGAGCUCCCGAGCCCCUCGCUCCCGGGCCCCCGCGCUGUGCGUGCAGCUGCGCCCGCGGAGCCGGCGCGGCGCUCCCACCCGCUCCAGCUGCGCCGCCUCGCUACCUGCGCCAGCUUCUGCGUUUCCACGCAAACUGCAGCAUUCCGGAGUGCGUCUGAACAUGAAGCUUGUACACUCAUAAACACGGGCCGUUCAGAGCGAAACUCUGCUGGAACAGCUAAGCGUUCCCUCUCUUUAACCUGUGGAUGGCACGAAAAAGGAGAACUGGGAGCAUCUCUGAGCACAGAUGAGGAGCCCACAUCUACAAACCUGGUUCUCCUGGAACCUUUUCCUCCCCGGCGGGCAGGACGGGGCUCAGACCCGAGGAGACUCGCCAGGCUCCCCCGGACUCCUCCACAGGCACCAGGCAGCUCAUCCCUUCCCUCCCUGCAAAGAAACACAGUUUUCCCCACAUUUUUUUUAGCAACAUUUUUUUUCUGCUAAACCUUCCUUAUUCUUUCUCCCUGGAAAAAAGAUUUCUUUCUAAAACGCCGGAGCUGGGCAGCAUGACAGGAGCCACAGCCGCCCAUUCAGCGGGCUUGCGCUGCGUGGCUGGUAUCGCGUGCUGUACGGUUGCAGAUUGCCUUGUUGCCACCUCUGCAUGCACCGCAGUUGUUGGGGUUCUCCGGGAAGAACAGGAAGAUUGUGAAGCCUCCCUUAAAAAUGACAGAAGCGCUCAUCUGAAGGGAAGGAGGCUGCUGAGCUCAUUUUAUCUGUCUUCACCUCAGAAAGAAUCCACGGCCCUUUCCAAACCAGCCGCAUCAUGGAUUUGAAGGGAGCACCGAGGUUUGCAGGCACCCCGCAAAUGGGUUUGCUUUGGAACCGGGUGCCGUUGCGGGCAUCUCAUGCAGAUGUCAGGAUCUGCUGGCUGCGCACAGCGAGCCGCGAGCACGGCGGUUUGACCCGUGUUUGGGAUAUCGCUGUCACUGUCUCGUGAAACUUGUGCAAUAUAAAUGAACCAGCUGGUAUUAGGAAAAGUGUGAAGAUCUUUGUUUUCUGCCGGGUGGGGGAAGGGAAGGGGAGUGGGUGUGCUGCGAGGUUUGUCACACAAAGCCCAGAGAUUCCGUGCUUGUGAAUGUGGCGUUAGUAGAGUUUGGGAUGACUUUUUUUGUUGUUUUUUGCUCUGCCAUGUUCGGUGAAAUCUGUAGCUCCCGUCACGCCUAUUUGCUGGGCAGCUCUUAUUAAGGCUGGUGACGCAUUUGCCUUUUGGCAACGCUCUCUGCUGGGGAUCCCGUGGGAGGUGGGACCGUCACCGCCAAUCCUGCCCCUUUCCCAUGUGCUCGGGGGCCGUGAUGGACCCGGUGGGGAUCCUCAUCUCCCUGCUCGUCACACACGUGCCGCGCGAGGGCCACCAGAGCUGUGCGCCCAGCGUGUCCUCGCCCGGAGACGAGGGGCAGAGGAAACGAGUUAGAGACCCUCCGUAUAAACUUGUCAGUGUGUCUUUAUAAUGCCACUUCUGGUUCAUUUCCUAAUCUCUCUGCAGUCAGAAUGGUGCGUUUCGGUGUCUACAGAAACAGGUCAUUGUCACCUCUUGAUGUUAGGUGGCACCUUUGAGUUGCGCCUUCCAUCUUCUCCUUCCCUUGCUGGGACUCCUCGGAAGGUUUUCUGGGGCGAUGCCCGCUGGGGGAGACAGGAUGUGACACUUGCAGCCCUAUGUUUGCCACCUCAGCUGGAAUGGGAGCAAUCUAGAGCCGUUUCCACGUGACGCUCAUCCCCAGCCCACAGGACGAGCGGGGGUGACGCCGGAGCCGGUUUGUCCCGGGGACCCCCGUGUGCACCCCGGUUCCGUCCCCCACCCACAGCCAGUGCGCUGCUUGCACGUUCCAAAACUGUGCUGUCAGCAAUAUCACAAGAGCGAUUUCUUUAUCAAAGGUCAUUACCAAUUAUUUUGUAAAGAACUGACGCUUCAGUAAUUACCUGAUUUUAUCUUUUUCUCUUUUUUUUUUAAUGUAGGUCAUUUAUAUUUCAUUAUUGUCAUGUUAUGGCCUAUCUGCUUGCAAAGAGGCAUAUAUUAAAACCAGCGACUUCGCCUUCAUGUCA